rnacentral:rRNA from 1 species
UGGCUCAGAACGACGCUGGCGGCAUGCCUAACACAUGCAAGUCGAACGAGAUCUUCGGGUCUAGUGGCGCACGGGUGCGUAACGCGUGGGAACCUGCCUUUAGGUUCGGAAUAACUCAGAGAAAUUUGAGCUAAUACCGGAUAAUGUCUUCGGACCAAAGAUUUAUCGCCUUUAGAUGGGCCCGCGUUGGAUUAGCUAGUUGGUGGGUAAAGGCCUACCAAGGCGACGAUCCAUAGCUGGUCUGAGAGGAUGAUCAGCCACACUGGGACUGAGACACGGCCCAGACUCCUACGGGAGGCAGCAGUGGGGAAUAUUGGACAAUGGGCGAAAGCCUGAUCCAGCAAUGCCGCGUGAGUGAUGAAGGCCUUAGGGUUGUAAAGCUCUUUUACCCGAGAUGAUAAUGACAGUAUCGGGAGAAUAAGCUCCGGCUAACUCCGUG